rnacentral:rRNA from 1 species
CUGCGGCGGCCUAAUACAUGCAAGUCGGACGGGAUUCGAGACUUCGGUUUUGAUGAGAGUGGCGCACGGGUGCGUAACGCGUAUGCAACCUACCUGUUACAGGGGGAUAGCCCGGGGAAACCCGGAUUAAUACCCCAUGGUAUAUAGAGACCGCAUGGUUUUUAUAUUAAAGAUUCAUCGGUAACAGAUGGGCAUGCGUAGGAUUAGCUAGUUGGUAAGGUAACGGCUUACCAAGGCUACGAUCCUUAGGGGUUCUGAGAGGAAGGUCCCCCACACUGGCACUGAGAUACGGGCCAGACUCCUACGGGAGGCAGCAGUAGGGAAUAUUGGGCAAUGGAGGGAACUCUGACCCAGCCAUGCCGCGUGCAGGAAGACGGCCUUACGGGUUGUAAACUGCUUUUAUCAGGGAAGAAAAAGCCUAUGCGUAGGAAAUUGCCGGUACCUGAUGAAUAAGCACCGGCUAACUCCGUGCCAGCAGCCGCGGUAAUACGGAGGGUGCAAGCGUUGUCCGGAUUUAUUGGGUUUAAAGGGUGCGUAGGCGGCUUUAUAAGUCAGCGGUGAAAUGCCAGGGCUCAACCCCGGCACUGCCGUUGAUACUGUAUAGCUUGAGUGCGUUCUGGGUACAUGGAAUUUAUGGUGUAGCGGUGAAAUGCAUAGAUACCAUAAGGAACACCGAUAGCGAAGGCAUUGUACUGGGACGUAACUGACGCUGAUGCACGAAAGCGUGGGUAGCGAACAGGAUUAGAUACCCUGGUAGUCCACGCCGUAAACGAUGAUCACUCGCUGUCCUGCCUAUAUGGUGUGGCGGCCAA